CAUUAUGCUCAGCCUUAAACCUUGAUAGUCCACUUACAAUCACUAUCCGCCCGGGUACUACGAGCAUUAGCUUAAAACCCAAAGGACUUGGCGGUGCUUAACAUCCACCUAGAGGAGCCUGUUCUAGAACCGAUAAUCCCCGUUAAACCUCACCCUCUCUUGUUUUUCCCGCCUAUAUACCGCCGUCGUCAGCUUACCCCGUGAGGAACCCAUAGUAAGCACAAUUGGUAGAACCCAAAACGUCAGGUCGAGGUGUAGCUAAUGAGAGGGGAAGAAAUGGGCUACAUUUCCUAAACUAGGAAACACGAACAAUGUCCUGAAACGGACAUUAGAAGGAGGAUUUAGUAGUAAGCAGAAAAUAGAGCGUUCCGCUGAACCUGGCCCUAAAGCGCGCACACACCGCCCGUCACUCUCCCCAAGCUAAAAAAUUACACGUACUUAAAAUAUAAUACCUGCAAAGGGGAGGCAAGUCGUAA
rnacentral:rRNA from 1 species